AGAGUUUGAUCAUGGCUCAGGACGAACGCUGGCGGCGUGCCUAACACAUGCAAGUCGUGCGGUCUCGCCUUAAGCGAAAGGCCUUCGGGCUUUGAAGCAAAGGCGAGAUAGCGGCGGACGGGUGAGUAACGCGUGGCUUAUCUGUCCCAGGGAGGGGGAUAACGUCUGGAAACGGGCGCUAAUACCCCAUAUGCCGAAAGGUAAAAAGGAGAAAUCCGCCCUGGGGUGAGGCCGCGUCCUAUCAGCUCGUUGGUGAGGUAACGGCCCACCAAGGCUAUGACGGGUAGCCGGCCUGAGAGGGCGGCUGGCCACACUGGGAUUGAGAUACGGCCCAGACUCCUACGGGAGGCAGCAGUGGGGAAUAUUGGGCAAUGGGGGAAACCCUGACCCAGCGACGCCGCGUGGAGGAAGGAGCCCUUCGGGGUGUAAACUCCUGUUGUAAGGGAAGAAGACAGUGACGGUACCUUACGAGGAAGCCCCGGCAAACUACGUGCCAGCAGCCGCGGUAACACGUAGGGGGCGAGCGUUGUCCGGAAUUACUGGGCGUAAAGCGCACGCAGGCGGAUGCGCGCGUCGGCUGUGAAAUGCACCGGCUCAACCGGUGCACUGCGGUCGAUACGGCGCAUCUGGAGUGCGGGAGAGGGAAGCGGAAUUCCCGGUGUAGCGGUGAAAUGCGUAGAUAUCGGGAGGAACGCCGGUGGCGAAGGCGGCUUCCUGGCCCGCAACUGACGCUCAUGUGCGAAAGCCAGGGGAGCGAACCGGAUUAGAUACCCGGGUAGUCCUGGCCGUAAACGAUGGACGCUAGGUGUGGGCGGUUUAUCCGUCUGUGCCGAANUUAACGCGUUAAGCGUCCCGCCUGGGGAGUACNAUCGCAAGGUUGAAACUCAAAUGAAUUGACGG
rnacentral:rRNA from 1 species